GGUCUUGUAGCUCAGACGGGAGAGCAUCGUGUUUUUAAUGCGAAGGUCUGGGGUUCGAUUCCCUGCAGGACCA